rnacentral:lncRNA from 1 species
CUGUUCUCUGCGCACCGAAACUCCCCGUUGAGAACUCAGCGCUCCCACGCUCCCCGCUUUUCCACUCAUUGCAACAGUGUGGACUCCACUUUUCUUCCCUCCCCCAGUUUUGGGGAAGAAAAAGUCUCUGUUUUUAGGCUUCGGAGUGAAUCUGUCUGAGGACAUCAGAAACAUAACUAUUUCGUGGAAAACCAGUGAUUUGCCUAGCUUAGACGGACUUGUUCGGCUAAUUACAGGCAGGACGGGCUGCGGUUUGGAAAAGCGGGAUUCUCCCAGCGCCAACUGGCCCUUCUCCGGAGCCCGACCUUCCGCAGGGGCCUUGCCAGGUGCCCUGCCUGUGUUCCCACUGUCCCGGUGUUCUCACAGUGAGAAACUGAAAGGAACCAAAAGCAAACCACCUGUCUCACAGUUAAACCACGCCGUUUCCCCGUAAAUUUAUGAAAUAAAAUUCUUAUCUUUUCCA